UACGAAGGGGGCUAGCGUUGCUCGGAAUUACUGGGCGUAAGGGGCGCGUAGGCGGGUCGUUUAGUUAGAGGUGAAAGCCCAGGGCUCAACCCUGGAAUUGCCUUUAAUACUGGCGGCCUUGAGUAUGGCAGAGGUGUGUGGAACUCCGAGUGUAGAGGUGAAAUUCGUAGAUAUUGGGAAGAACACCGGUGGCGAAGGCGGCGACCUGGUCCGAUACUGACGCUGAGGCGCGAAAGCGUGGGGAGCAAACAGG
rnacentral:rRNA from 1 species